GACGAACGCUGGCGGCGUGCUUAACACAUGCAAGUCGAACGGAAAGGCCCUGCUUUUGUGGGGUGCUCGAGUGGCGAACGGGUGAGUAACACGUGAGUAACCUGCCCUUGACUUUGGGAUAACUUCAGGAAACUGGGGCUAAUACCGGAUAGGAGCUCCUGCUGCAUGGUGGGGGUUGGAAAGUUUCGGCGGUUGGGGAUGGACUCGCGGCUUAUCAGCUUGUUGGUGGGUAGUGGCUUACCAAGGCUUUGACGGGUAGCCGGCCUGAGAGGGUGACCGGCCACAUUGGGACUGAGAUACGGCCCAGACUCCUACGGGAGGCAGCAGAGGGGAAUAUUGCACAAUGGGCGGAAGCCUGAUGCAGCAACGCCGCGUGCGGGAUGACGGCCUUCGGGUUGUAAACCGCUUUCGCCUGUGACGAAGCGUGAGUGACGGUAAUGGGUAAAGAAGCACCGGCUAACUACGU
rnacentral:rRNA from 1 species